CUUUGCCUAUUUGAGGUCUUCUGUAAUUCCGUACAAAUUUUAAGAUCAUGUGUUCUAGUCUGUGAAAAAUGCUAUUGUUAUUUUGGUAUGGACUGC